CAGCAGCCCUCAAGGCCUCUACUAUAAAUAUGGCCAUUAACAUUUGUUAGCAGCCCAUCUCAUAAGCAUCCUCCUUCGUACUGCUAACAAAGAUUUUGAUAUUUUGCAAAUGGGGUUAUGUCAAUACUACCUUCUUUCCGUCGUGCUGCUUUUGCCUGCAUUGUGUUACUCUCAGUUCACGUUCACAAGUUCUAGAGCUACAUUCUAUGGUAGCCCUGACGGCCUGGGGACACCAGGUGUGUAAAAAUCUCACCUUUAUAAAGCUAUGUACAUUAAACUCGUGCACAAGUUUACGCGAAAUAAUAGUUCAUUUCAUUAUGCUUUGGAGAAUUUUUGUUUUUGUAUUUGUUUAUCUUUUAGAUUAACUAAUGUUCAUGUUGAUGAUUCAUCAGCUGGUGCUUGCGGGUUUGGUGCAUACGGAAGAACUGUAAAUGAUGCUAACGUGGCCGGUGUGUCGAGGCUUUGGAAUAAUGGAACUGGUUGUGGAGCUUGCUAUCAGGUAAUGAUUAUUAACUUUCAACCCACUCAAUCAUUGCAGUUUAUUUUAAAGCUAUAUAAUAAAUGUGUAAAGUGAACGAAUUGCUAAGACGGCUAAGCCAGUGCAUGAAAGGAACUUGAAAACUUUAUUUAUUUAAAUUGUAUUGUUUAUAUAUAUAUAUAAGUAGUUGCAUGCAUAUUCUUCAUAAGACUGCUUAAAUCAUUUCAAAUUCAACAUCGUCGACAAUUUUAUUGCCACUAGUAAUUCUUUAGGUUUUGUACCAUCAAUUAAUAAUGAUUAGUUAAUUAAUUAACUUCAGGUCAGAUGCAAUGUACCAGAAGUUUGCACAGAUUAUGGGGUGUACGUGGUGGUGACCGACUAUGGUGAAGGAGACGACACAGACUUCGUCCUCAGCCCACGCGCGUAUGGAAGAAUGGCACUUACAGAUAAGUCAGAAGAGCUUUAUACUUUUGGUGUCGUCGACGUUGAAUUCCUGAGAGUCCCUUGCCGGUUCAGAGGCUACAACCUCAAGUUCAAGGUCCAUGAAAACAGCAAGUACCCACAGUACUUGGCCGUAUCCAUGCUGUACGUAGGUGGCCAAAAUGACGUCCAAGCAGUUGAAAUAUGGCAGGUAAUUACUUACAAAUUAACUUCUAAACAAUUGAUUUUUAGCCCGUCCAUCGCAUGUAAUGCUUUUGUUGGUGCAGGAGGAUUGUAAAGACUGGGUGCCGAUGAGAAGGGCUUUCGGUGCAGUAUUUGACAUCUCUAAUCCACCACCAGGAGCAAUUAAUUUGAGGUUUCAAGUGAGUGGCAGCGCGGGGCUCACAUGGGUUGUGGCAAACAAUGCUAUUCCAAAAGUAUGGAAGGCUGGAGUUGCUUAUGAGUCAGCAAUUCAGCUUGCAUAAAUUUGAGAUAUCCCAAGCUUUAUUAUGACUGGUUCCUGGUUAUCAGCUUCUUAAUGUCAUUUAGAUAUUCUAGUAUGUUGUUGCCCAGCAUCCGUGUCUCCUCAAAACUUAACUAGUUGCUAAAUAAAUAGUGGGAUUGUGUACUUUAAGAUCUUUUGAUCUAAGGAGAAAAUUAAUAAAAUUCAGCUCUCGUCAAAAUAAAACCGCUCAUACGCCUCGUUAGUGGUGUCUUUGUGGGUGUGUCUUAUUGAAUUUCUUGUGAUUGUUUAAAUAACUCCAUUAUAUUUCCUCUACUAACAGUAAUCAGUAAAAUUGAUGUAUUAUCAAACAAUAUACAUCGUCGAUAAUAUUUCUUAGUGAUUGCAACACGUUAAAAAAUAUAUUUCAAAUGUAAAAAUUGUAAAAUAAAUUGUCGAGCCAUUCCGUUUUAGAAUUGGAGAUUAGCCAAAUCUUUUGUCAAUUGUUUAUAAAAGUAUGAUAAAUAUCUACCAACUACUCUUUGUUUUGCACUUUAUAAAAAAUAUACUAAAACUUUUUUCUUUUGUGGCUAUCCACGUAAAGUUUACAAAAUUAUCACUUUUUUACUUUUUCAUUAACAUAAUUAAAGAUUUAAUAGAAUAUUAAUUAAACGACCACUAUAUCGUUAAAAUAUUAUUUAAUCCUAACUAGUAGCUAAAUGAUGAAAAAAAAUUCCAAUUUGUAGCUGUUGGAACCAAUAGCAGCUAUAAAUUUAGUUAGAUAAAUUCAUCAAACCUACUAAUUUAACAAUAUAAAAUCACCAAAAUAACCACCAUAACUAAUUUGUAAUUCAUUUGCAACAUAAAUUCAGAACCUCUGCUCAUAUAAUCCAUCCUAAAUAAUCUUUGACAACAAUAACAAGUCUUGGAAAGCAAUAAAUCACCAAUAAAAACAAUCAUAGUUAUCCAAAAUACAUUUUAAGGAAACAUAAAAGUAGUUAUAAAAAACUUUAAACAUUAUACCUUGCUUCCGUCGAUAAAAAAAGAACAAUGUAAAACCAAUUAUGAUGAAUAUAGAGUUUACAAUUUGUUUCCAUCAAUUCAAAAUUAAACAUAUUCUAAAAUUAUGUAAAACAACAAUUAAUAAAUAAUCUAUUUACAUUUAGGGAUAAAAUAGUUUUUUUAUCAAUAUCCUAUUAAAUCAUCUAAUGCUAUUAAUGGAAAAGUAGAAAAAUAAUAAAAAACUGCAAAAGAAAAGUUUUUGGCGUAUUUCUAAUAAAGCUUAGAAUAUAUUUACCAAUAAAACUACAUAUAAUAAAUUCUUCAACUAACGUACUACAUUAAUUUCAUCUUCAGCUCUUCCGGUAAGCACUGGCUAACGAAUGAUUUUAGGUACACCAUAAAAGGAAUCCAUUUCUCCUCUUUCGGAAGUGUUGUAGUCUUACAGGCAACGACCAGGACAGAACACCCCUUGGAAGCAUCAGAAUACUUACACAUAUUAAAGCAGCGACCUUUAACAGAAUUUGACAUUUGGCAUUGGAAGGGAAGAAUGCAUCAAACGAGGGCUGCAUUGACUGUGUAAAGUUCUCCAGAAUCAGAGCAACUGUGGGUAAAGGACCGUUAACUUGCACAAGUUAUCAGCUGUUUUUUUCAUUUUGACGCAGUUACUGGUUCGAGUCGUACAUGGGAGUAACAGUUUAUAUGCAUCCAUUAAAAAUCAGAUUAAUGGAACAAGUGAUAUGACUAACAGCAGGGCACUUAAAUUUAAAUGUAUUGUCCAACAAACAAAAUACAGCAUAAUGCAAUUUCACGGACGUACAUACAGACAGACACAUACAUCCUCAUAUUUGUGAGCAUAGGUGAGCCAGAAAGAUACUAGGACUUGGAACAAGUGAUAUAACUAACAGGGCACUUGAAUGUACCUUUCAGAUGAAAAUCAAAACUACUACUGUUAACCUCCCUCAGUACAACCGACCAGUGCAUUCUGAAGAACCACAAAAGCAACUCUUUUUCUUAAUGUUGCCAGAUGAAUCAUAAACUUGAUCUAUCACGUAAUUGUAAUGAUAAGUCAGCUCUUGCAGGGGAGGAAUGUUCUCAGCAGCAAAGAGCAUUAUGUGAGGCGUUCUCUUGUCCUCAUGAUCAUAAAGGACGUUUUGGGCAUAAAGAUUAGGCGAACAACUGUGGUUAACAAAUCUCCCCACAUUGCCAUACUCCACUGCAUCAAUGGUAAAUCCACCAUCCUCCACAACUCCACAAGAACUCAAUGGUGCAUCAGGCAUAACAUUCGAAAGUCCACCCCAAAGAGAACCAUCAUUAUAAUUAUUCCCAAUAUCAAAUAGAUACUCAUCAUUACUGGUUCUUCUUUCCGCUUCCUUCUCUUCAAGGAGCUCCCCCGCGUACUCACAGAUAAAACUUCCCGAAGGAAUGGAAUUUAGGGAUCUCACACCCCAUCCCCGUGCUUCAGUUUUGAAGAUCUCCAUCUGAAAUUUGAUACCCUGCUGGCUGACUCUAUUAUAGCAAGAAGCUUCAUUACUCUUUUUCAUUGUUUCACUGGCUUGCAUACAAAUACAACAUUAUGCAGGCUAAUUAGAUAAAAGGGAAUGGCUAGGGCCGACAGACGGAUGACGAGGAGCAUAGCUCACCUACCUCAUCUUCCAAAAAAUAGUAAUUUUCCAUUUAUUAAUUGUUCUACAAGCCUCCUCUCUCGUGCAAUAAGUACGUAUGAUUAAUGAGUGCUUCCGUCCCUAAUUGUUAUAGCUAAAUACGUUUGUCUGGCUUGACCCGUUUACUAGUGCGUUACAACCAAAAGACUGAUGGUGAUCGAGUGGGUUAAUCCAGUUGUUGUGAGCCUAUAGCAUUUGCUUUUGACUCGACAAAGCAAUUUAAAAAAACGCCAUUUUGGAUACCGGUACGUCACGUACUAAAUCCAAUUGCUUGGUGCGGUCUCCCUAUUAGCCUUCGGUUCUUGACUCAAUAAGUAAUUUCCAGCUAGUUUCAAUAGGUUUUAAUUCCACCAUUUACUUACCAUAAUGAUCGAGAAUAGGGAUGGCAAUGGGGUGAGGUGGAUGUGGAGAGGCUUAUCUUAUUCCUCAUUCUAUUAAAAAUGUCACCUCUAUUUUUCACCUCAUUCUCCAUUAAAUUUAGAGGAACGGGGACAAAAAAUCUUUAUAUGGGGAAUAAUUUCCUCAUUCCUAUCUCAUUACCCGUUUAUUUAUUUCAUAAUAAGUAUGGAUACGUGGUUUUAGUACAUUAAAAAUUAGAGACUUAAAUAAAAUUAUUAUCAUAUUAUAAAGUAUUUAAAUUAUUUUAAAAAAUUUCCAAAAUUUUGAAACAAUAUCAAAACUGAUAUCAAAACUGAAAAAUGUUUGGAGAGAGCAUCACUUAAUAAUGUUUUAGAGUUGAAUAAUAAUUAUAUUGUAAGGUUUUCUUUUAAUUAUAACCUGUUUAUAUUAGGUAAAAAUUAACAAGAAAAUUUGUUAACCGACAUUGUAUUUGAUAAAACAAAAAAUAUUAAAUAAAAAUUAAAAAAUAUUUAUAUUUAAAUGGAGAGUGAGGUGGUGGUGGGGUGGAGAAUACAAAACCAAAUCCCAUCCCAUUAAGAGUUUGAGGAUUAUUUAUCCCUCGUUUCCUACUCUAUUCCCUAAAAAUUAUUUAAACCCCAUGAGAACCAAACCCGUGUAAGAUUUUGCCAUCUCUAAUCGCGAAAUCUUGAGUUUUUCCUUGCACCCAAGUCACAAGGUGUGCGCUAUAAGAUCUUUUGGCAUAAUUCAACUGGUUGUAGAUAUUUUCACCCAAAUUCGAAUAGCAAUAAAGAAUAAUGAUUGUUAUUUAGUGGUUUAAGUUUUUCAUCUCCAUUCAAUUUUUAAAAUAAAUAAAUAAAUAGUUUAUGCUAUUAGAACGUCUAAACGAAGCAAACCCAGACCAGUAAUUAACAAUUACAAAACAAUUACUUGGUUGAUAAUAAUGGCAUGGGAGGUGAUUUUAUGAUUUUACUGCUAUUUCCUCUACUAACAGUAAUCAGUAAAAUUGAUGUAUUAUCAAACAAUAUAAAUCGUCGAUAAUAUUUCUUGGUGAUUGCAACAUGUUAAAAAAUAUUUUUCAAACUGCUGUACGGCCAAGGCGGAUGUACGGUACAGCAGUUAUGAUAAUGAGUCCAAUUCAAUUCAAAUAAGGGUCUUGAGGGGUCGAUAAUGGGGUCUACAUUUACGCAUCAUCAAUCUAAUCUAACUCUCUAGUCCCAAGACGAAGAAAAGAGGUGGCAAUUUCCCCUUAGCUGCAGCCCUCAAGGCUUCUACUAUAAAUAUGGCCAUUAACAUUUGUUAGCAACCCAUCUCAGAAGCAUCCUCCUUCGUACUGCUAGCAAAGAUUUUGAUAUUUUGCAAAUGGGGUUAUGUCAAUACUACCUUCUUUCCGUCGUGCUGCUUUUGCCUGCAUUGUGUUACUCUCAGUUCACAUUCACAAGUUCUAGAGCUUCAUUCUAUGGUAGCCCUGACGGCUUGGGGACACCA
rnacentral:lncRNA from 1 species